AGAUUGAACGCUGGCGGCAUGCUUUACACAUGCAAGUCGAACGGUAACAGGCCGCAAGGUGCUGACGAGUGGCGAACGGGUGAGUAAUGUAGCGGAACGUGCCCAGUCGUGGGGGAUAACGCAGCGAAAGCUGCGCUAAUACCGCAUACGAUCUAUGGAUGAAAGCGGGGGACCGUAAGGCCUCGCGCGAUUGGAGCGGCCGAUAUCAGAUUAGGUAGUUGGUGGGGUAAAGGCUCACCAAGCCAACGAUCUGUAGCUGGUCUGAGAGGACGACCAGCCACACUGGGACUGAGACACGGCCCAGACUCCUACGGGAGCAGCAGUGGGGAAUAGUUGCACAAGUGGGACG
rnacentral:rRNA from 1 species